UCCAGCAGCCAUAUCACUCUGCAACUCACACCUGGUAACCCACUGAAGCUCAGCAGGUGUGAGCCUGGCCAGUACCUGGAUGGGAGACCUCCUGGGAAAAACUAAGAUUGCUGCUGGAA
rnacentral:rRNA from 1 species